CACACACUCGCGCUCAACAGUACGGAAGGUUCACAGAAUUCCUCUUGCUUCAGGGCGUGGGGCGUUUACACGGUGAAAAACUCAGUGAACAUGCUAGUCACCUCCGCUGGGUUUGGUCCGCUAAAAUUCGAGGUUACAUCGCAGACCCUUUACUGAAGCAGCGGCAUAAGGCACAAAGACUGUCGAUACAAGAGCUCCCCCUGUGGCAAGUGAAUUACACAAAAGGAGCUCAUCAAGAAGAUAAGCGGGGGAUAGGCUGAGGGAAAGAGGAUGCGUGUGCAAGUGUAUGACUAACAGAUUUGAUCUGGCAAUGAUUAGAAGAUUUAUGUAUAAAAAGUAAGUACACAGCAAUGGCCAAAAGAAGGAUUAUCUAAAUGCAGAAUCUCUCUUACAGUAAAAUAAGUUUAAUUCAGGUAAGGAGGAGUAGUCUUUGUAAACAAAUAGCAGGAGUUCAAACUUAAAAAAGAGUCAGGAUGCCGAGGCUCCCUUCAGCUAAAGAAUGUGCCUUCAGACAAUCACAUGAUAUGUCAGAGAUCCUUUGUCUACAAACCUGGAUAUUCUGACAGGUGAUUUAACCUCUAACAGCAAACAUGUUUUGAUACUCUCUUUCUCUCUAUCUCCCUCUCUUUCAGAUGAAUUUUGAUGAGCAUGUAGACCUUUCCUUUUCAGAGCUCUCGGAAAUCAAGGAAUGCUUUGUGUCCUUGUGAAGGUCAAACAAAUGGCAACCAUUUGUUUGCCAUAUAUUAGCAUGUCUUAUGAGCAAAGGGACAUAUUUUUAAUUGUGCUCUUAAAAGUUAUGUUAUUACAGAUCUUAUCAAAUGACAACUUGGAAUCUAUGCAUAAGGUUUUGGAACAUCAUAUAAUCGUUCAUUAAGAUUUAAAUUAGGCGUUGUGUUUGUUCAUAAAAUAUUCAUUAGAAAUCUGACAAUUCAGUUUCAGAUUAAAUCACUGUCAUUGAUAACAGAGAACAUUUAUAAAAUAUACAUUCAUUGUUUACUCAUAUACUUUCUGUGCCAUUUGCUUGUCUUUACUCAGGGCACAUAAUGUAGGUUAUACUGUAGACACAUUCCUAUCUAACCACUGAGUCAAUCUGCUAUACAGUACACACAUUCCUAUGCAGAGAUGUAAAAAUCUGGCUCCAGAAAGUAAAAGUUUUGUUCCAACCAUUCACUUAAUCAGCUGAUUCUUAUCAGCACAACUCUUAAGCCAGGUAGAUCCACUAAUCAGUGAAAUCACCUGUGUUAAGUGCACAGGUAGAACCAAUACAUGGCAGGACUUUUACUUUCUGAAGUCGGACUUUUACAUCUCUGUUCCUUGUAACCAUUGAGUCUGUCUUCUAUACUGUUCUGUAUGUUACUUUUUAUCAGAGACGCAU